GACGAACGCUGGCGGCGUGCUUAACACAUGCAAGUCGAACGGUGAUGCUCCAGCUUGCUGGAGUGGAUCAGUGGCGAACGGGUGAGUAACACGUGAGCAACCUGCCCCAGACUCUGGAAUAAGCGCUGGAAACGGCGUCUAAUACUGGAUACGAAACUGGCCCGCAUGGGCAUGGUGUGGAAAGUUUUUCGGUUUGGGAUGGGCUCGCGGCCUAUCAGCUUGUUGGUGAGGUAAUGGCUCACCAAGGCGACGACGGGUAGCCGGCCUGAGAGGGCGACCGGCCACACUGGGACUGAGACACGGCCCAGACUCCUACGGGAGGCAGCAGUGGGGAAUAUUGCACAAUGGGCGAAAGCCUGAUGCAGCGACGCCGCGUGAGGGAUGACGGCCUUCGGGUUGUAAACCUCUUUCAGCAGGGAAGAAGCGAAAGUGACGGUACCUGCAGAAGAAGCACCGGCUAACUACGUG
rnacentral:rRNA from 1 species